AGCACUCUGGCUACAGAUUAGAAUGAUGACAAGAGUAAUACCUUCCUAGUAAAGAUGAUUAUAACUUGUUUUCUAGUUUCACAUGUCCACAGAUGAAGAAAAAUUGUGCCCCAGCAAAGAUUAUACCCAGAGCCUCAUCCAUUCAUACCUGAUUUAGAUACUUAGAUGAUAAGUAAUAGAAAAAGUGGUUCUCAAACCUGGGUCAAAGCUGAAUCACCUGAGGAUCUUUUAUUUUUAGAACAUACACAGCCAGCUGGACCUGCCCUCAGCUACCUCAUCUCUCUCUGUGACCUGAUGACAGAAAAGCACAUGAUUCUCUUCACCUGACUUCAUAUAUGGGUCCAUGUCAUAUGAUACUUCAAAAUCUGUGAUUCCAUGGAGCCAAGAGUAGCUCUUCAAUAGGAAAUGAAUGAGUGCUUCAGCUGCUGAUCCCAUUAGUAAGAAAAUACAGUCUUAUGAGCAAUGAUGGAGCUGCAUCUCUUAGGGGUGUUUGAUUCCCAAGAGACCAAAGAGCAAAGAGAAUGUCAAUUUAAAAAAAUCUAAUGUUUCCAUGACUUAGCUAUUUAACUGCUUUAAAAUAAAUGAAUGCUGCUUCAAGUUCUUUCAAAUACCCCACAUCUUGGCAACAAUGAAAGGAAUUAACAUGAAGAAAAUUUACAAUCCUUCAUCACAUCGAACAAUGUCCCACAUUUGAGAAGUUCACAGCACAGAUUUCUGGUGACUGAAAGAAAGGAAAGAACUUCUUUGGAUUUGAAUAAACAGAUGGACUUUCUU
rnacentral:antisense_RNA from 1 species